UAGGGAAUCUUCCGCAAUGGACGCAAGUCUGACGGAGCAACGCCGCGUGAGUGAUGAAGGUUUUCGGAUCGUAAAGCUCUGUUGCCAGGGAAGAACGUCCGGUAGAGUAACUGCUACCGGAGUGACGGUACCUGAGAAGAAAGCCCCGGCUAACUACGUGCCAGCAGCCGCGGUAAUACGUAGGGGGCAAGCGUUGUCCGGAAUUAUUGGGCGUAAAGCGCGCGCAGGCGGCUAUUUAAGUCUGGUGUUUAAACCUUGGGCUCAACCUGAGGUCGCACUGGAAACUGGGUGGCUUGAGUACAGAAGAGGAAAGUGGAAUUCCACGUGUAGCGGUGAAAUGCGUAGAUAUGUGGAGGAACACCAGUGGCGAAGGCGACUUUCUGGGCUGUAACUGACGCUGAGGCGCGAAAGCGUGGGGAGCAAACAG
rnacentral:rRNA from 1 species